rnacentral:lncRNA from 1 species
CCCAAAGCCAACGCCGCCUUUCCUUCCAGUUCUCUGCUGCCAGUGCCUGGAACGAAUUGCAAAAAUUGCUGAAGCUGGAGACUUAUAUUUCCCUCACUAACUUUAAACAUCAGCUAUCUGAGCAGCUAACCGAUCGCUGCAGCUGUACAUAGUCCAUCUGUAAAUAGCCCACCCAAUCCACAGACUACAAAUGUCGGUGAUGUUUGUGUCCAGUAUGAAGGAAGUUAAAGUUAGUUGUUGGUGACCUGCAGCGAUACAGACGAAGAGUACCUGCUGUCCCGAAGGCUUCUGCCCUACGACCUUGGCUACGGUGCUAACAGUCAGAGUGAAGCAGAGACAGAUCAGACUCCAGAUCAUGUUGUAGUUGAGGGAAGCAGCACAACGGACAAAGAACCGACCAGAUUCUCCACAGAGGAGUUUCCCGUUUCAACUACCGACAAGCGUGUCCUUUACAGGAUCUAUAAAGAGGAAACCAACGAGCAGAGAACAAUCCUCAGAAUCGUAAAUGCUCUUACCACUCUGGAGGACUUCAAGAGACUAUCCCUUUGGUGUCUGAGGGUGUGAGUACAAUUCUAAUACAUGUGAUGUCUUGCUCAACAUGUGGCAGUAACUUACAGUAACUGGUAACACUAGUAUUACUGUGUUGAUUUCACAAUUUGAUGCUCACUGUCUUCUAAUUAUCUACAGUCUAUACACCAGGUUAGCCCAGCUAGUAGCAGACGCCAGGUUAGCCCAGCUAAUAGCAGACGCCAGGUUAGCCCAGCUAGUAACAGACGCCAGGUUAGCCCAGCUAAUAGCAGACGCCAGGUUAGCCCAGCUAAUAGCAGACGCCAGGUUAGCCCAGCUAGUAACAGACGCCAGGUUAGCCCAGCUAGUAGCAGACACCAGGUUAGCCCAGCUAAUAGCAGAAAUGGAGACCAAUGAUGUAAGUAUACAAAUGUAGUAAUUAAUGUUAUGUCUGUAACAGAAACAUCUCCCCUCGUACACAUUGUAUUAACAGUGUGACUUUAUUUCUCUCAAUAG